rnacentral:rRNA from 1 species
CUUGGUCAUUUAGAGGAAGUAAAAGUCGUAACAAGGUUUUUAGACAUAAGCUCUAGGAUAGAUCUGCCGAUCCUUCCCUGGUGACACUUAUCGAAGCCUGUGCGGCCCCCCCAGGGGUUGCCGCCGCGACUCUAAACAACGGCGGCGCACGCAAGUCAGCAAUGGCAACAUGAUCGAAUUGCGGGGAGCCCUAAAGCCUUAUAGUACCAACCGGGGACGGAAACGUCCGCGGGGCCUAUACUAACCACAUAGGGGGGUCAUAACCUAUGAGGAUGUACAAUGGGUGAUCCGCAGCGAAGCCCCUACGGCCGCCUGGCUACGGGGAGCGUUCACAGACUAAGUGAUUGUGGGCACCGCGGUGCUUAAGAUAUAGUCGGGUCCGCCGGGAAACCAGCGGGGGAGCUCACCACCACACCGUUCCGUAGGUGAACCUGCGGAAGGAUCAUUACAGUGUUCCCUGCCCUCACGGGUAGAACGCCCACCCUUGUGUAUUGUAUAUUGUUGCUUUGGCGGACCGCCCUCGGGCACCGGCUUCGGCUGGCUCGCGUCCGCCAGGGAAGCCCAAACUCUGCAUGUUUAGUGUCGUCCGAGUACUAUAUAAUAGUUAAAACUUUCAACAACGGAUCUCUUGGUUCUGGCAUCGAUGAAGAACGCAGCGAAAUGCGAUAAGUAAUGUGAAUUGCAGAAUUCAGUGAAUCAUCGAAUCUUUGAACGCACAUUGCGCCCCGUGGUAUUCCGCGGGGCAUGCCUGUUCGAGCGUCAUUUCAACCAAUCCAGCGUGCUGGGUCUUGGGCCUCGCCUUCGGGCGGGCCUUAAAAUCAGUGGCGGCGCCUCCCGGCUCUAAGCGUAGUAAUUCUUCUCGCUACAGGGUCCCGGGUGGAGGCUGGCCAGCAACCCCUAAUUCUCAAAGGUUGACCUCGGAUCAGGUAGGGAUACCCGCUGAACUUAGCAUAUCAAUAAGCGGAGGA